AUUGAACCAGCACCAGCUAUAAGGUAACCUUCCUAUUAACAGCUUUGAGAGAGCAGCACUCUUAACCAAUAGCUUUUGGCUUUGCAUGUUUAUAAUAAUUUUGAUACAAUUAAAUGCUGGCUACACUGAAAUUCUGCACAUAUGCUUUUGUUGACAACGAUGGAAGGACUUAACUAACGUGCAUCCAGGCUGGAGAAGCAGAACAGCACACCUGAGAGUGACUACGACAACACUCCCAACGACAUGGAGCCAGAUGGCAUGGGGUCAAGCCGAAAGGGACGGCAGAGAAGUAUGGUAUGGCCAGGUGAUGGCUUGGUACCAGACACAGCAGAACCCCAUGUGGCCCCAAGCCCCACUCUCCCUAGCACCGAAGAUGUCAUCAGGAAAACUGAACAGAUCACCAAAAACAUACAGGAGCUCUUAAGAGCAGCCCAAGAAAAUAAACAUGACAGUUAUAUUCCCUGCUCAGAGAGGAUACAUGUAGCUGUUACAGAAAUGGCAGCAUUAUUCCCCAAAAAACCCAAGUCUGAUAUGGUGAGGACUUCUCUUCGUUUACUGACGUCCAGUGCCUACCGACUGCAGUCAGAGUGCAAGA
rnacentral:sRNA from 1 species